UGGGGAAUUUUGGACAAUAGACGCAAGUCUGAUCCAGCCAUGCCGCGUGCGGGAAGAAGGCCUUCGGGUUGUAAACCGCUUUUGUCAGGGAAGAAACGAGUUUCUCUAAUACAGAGACUUAAUGACGGUACCGUAAGAAUAAGCACCGGCUAACUACGUGCCAGCAGCCGCGGUAAUACGUAGGGUGCGAGCGUUAAUCGGAAUUACUGGGCGUAAAGCGUGCGCAGGCGGUUUUGUAAGACAGAGGGGAAAUCCCCGGGCUCAACCUGGGAAUUGCCUUUGUGACUGCAAGGCUUGAGUGCGGCAGAGGUGGAUGGAAUUCCGCGUGUAGCAGUGAAAUGCGUAGAUAUGCGGGGGAACACCGAUGGCGAAGGCAAUCCCCUGGGCCUGCACUGACGCUCAUGCACGAAAGCGUGGGGAGCAAACA
rnacentral:rRNA from 1 species